rnacentral:lncRNA from 1 species
GUUGUUGUUGUUAUUGGAACUUGAGCAACGACGAUCUAAUUGCGACGGUUCUCCGUCUCUAUUCCGAUGGAAAACAUGUCAAAAGCGACGAUUUUUUCUUCCAAAAACUCUCCAUCUCCAUUCCGACGGCUCAAAAGCACUAAAAAAAUUGACCAAAAAGUUACUGAAGUUUCGUAGUUUUUUGACCAGAGUAACAGAAUUUCCAUCACUUUCUUACCAUCGCAUAAAAAUCCAUCACUUUUACACAAAAACUUCUGUUAGUUCUAGUGUAUAUAUAUACAGUAUAAUAGUUCAUUAAAGAAUCAAACUGUCAUGCAUGCUCUUAAUUUUUUUAUGUUCUGUUUUGUUUGUUUACUUUUCAAUGUAUGGAUUUCAG